UCCACUUUUCACUUCAAACUUGUUUGUAGUUUAUUGUUUUACGAGGCAUGUGACCUUGAAAAUAAUCCCUAUAUUUGACUUCCUCAGCUUUCCUACCAGUAUAAGGGGAAUACUAUGUUUCCCCUUUGAUCACAGGUGAGGCCAGGCUUGGCUUUCAAGUGUGAAUCCUAAGAACUGUUGCUGAGAAUUUGAACAGGAUUAAGUGAAGUUGGAUGCCCUGAGACCUGGAUAUUCACAGUCUGUGAACACUGAAAACAAAAAAGAAAUCAAAGUAAAUCCUUGAAAAUUGAGGGAAGAUAACCCCUUCAGGGCUGGGUGCUCCAAAGUCUCUCACUCUGUUCACAUUGUCUGCUUGUGGGUCUGUGUGUUAAUCACCGUCUACUGCAAGAUGAAGGGUCUCUGCUGAGGGACAUCUACAUUAAUCCUCCAACACCAAAGCUUGAGGACUAUCAUGGAAGAGGAUGUAAAAUAAAAAUGAGAGCCAGAGGAUGUGAUGCAGAGCUGUGAAAUGCUGUCUUUUUGACAUGACUAGGACACAACAUUUAUGAACUCAUUGUGGUGACAAUAGCCUUCACAAGAUUCCAAAUUAACAG